AAAAAAGGAAAAUAGGCUAUUCCUCAUGUGUACAAAGUCUUUCUCUACUCCCUCAAAAGAUCUUCUAUUCCUCUCUCGCCAUAUGAUAUCUUAACAGAUGCGAUUCGUAGUAACUCUAUUCGCAUAAGGUUCUUGUCAGAAAAUUUAUUCAUAAUAAGGAAAUUGAGAAGCAUAUUAACCCAGAACAUAUUUCAGGAAAUUCUAAAAUAGACUUAACAGUUGAGCCCCGUUUCAUUUCGACCUGAUCCAAGCUCUGGCAGUCUGGCACAGCCCACACGGUCCAUUCAGCCUAUUCACCGACUUAGGGCUGACGAUGUUUAUUUGUUUGGCAUGUGAUUUCACCAAUUUACCCUUGAUGUAGAUAUAUUGUGUUAUCUGUGAGUUCUCAUCUUCUUUACCCUAAUAUGGCCGUCUUGCUCGCCAUUCUCUCACUUCCUUUCUAAAAUCUUUGGUUUCUUUGUAAGAUUUCUACUUUUCUGUGUUGAAUCUGCAUAAAUCUAAUGAAUCUUUCAUUAGCUAUGGACCGAGAUAGAGAGCACUGUGCUUUCCGAUCCUAGUUCUUUACAAGGUAUUCUCGACUAAUAGCUGCUCAUGAUGUUUCCUUACUCCCUAUCUCAUCCAUCUUCUUUUCCCAUGAUUUUUGUCUGUCAGUCCUCUCUGGCCCACAUCUUUGAUACUAAAAAAGAAAUUUGAAAGUCUUGAGUGGAAGAAACGUUAGACAGCUGAGUUGGAGGUAGGAGGAAAGUCGUAUUUGUUAGCAUUCCUGCUGGAAUCCAGUAGGAAAUAUCUUCGGGAAAAAAGGACAGGGUGCUAUGUGGCUGAUCCAUUUGCCAAAAUUGUUGCUGGACUCCAAUUAGGGAAAUAAAUAUUACAGAAAAGUUGGAUAAUCGAGUUGGAGGUGAAAAAUGAAGUUGCAGCAAAGGUCCUAAGUGAAUAACUAGUUCUUGCCCGAAGUAAUUCCUACUGGAUUCUAGCAGAAUGCUAGAAAAUACAGCGGUCCCGUGUCACUGCCACAUUCUCCAUGGAACUGGAGUAUUGGACUUAUAGCUCGAUCCCUAUCCAGGUUCCAUCUAUGCAUCCUGUGAAUGGAGCAAUGGUAAGCGAGGUAAUUCCCUUUUAGGACAACCUGCAACUCGUUCCUGCUGAUCAGUUUUCACAGAUUAGUCUUGUUUCGGGAAGCUGAGAAAUAAAUACAGGAAGAACAUGGGGUACUCUAAUUCUGCAGUUCAACUGGUGAAUUUCCUAGUGGAUCGCAGGUCAAAGUUAACGAGCUAGUUUUUUUAAAACAAAAUAAAAAGUUAGGCCCAAUCCAUUUUCUUAACAUGGUAUCAAAAUCAGACUCAUCCUAAUUCUUUGUUUACCUAAUGAUGACUUUCAUGUUACUUCAUAAAAAAAAAAAUGAUGAGUUUCAUGUUAUGUUGUUCACGCUCUAGGUGUUCAACCCUUGGGCAUGCACGGGGUGUAAGCAUCCCACAUUGGCUGGGAGUAUGGUAUAGUCUCAUUAUAUGGUAUUGAGCAGCCCUCACUUCAUGAAUUAGCUUUUGGAUUAAGUAAGAGCCAAGAUCCAUUUUUUUAACACAUAGAAUGCCUUAGAAUAUCUUUAAACUCAAUUACGGUAAUAGAUCCCAACUGUUUAAUGGGUGAUUUUGGUUUGAUCACACAAUCUAUUGCUCGAUCUCGAGCCUUUCACUUACCAGAUUAUGUCAAUCUCGAGCAACAAAAGCUUAGGCUUCUGUCAAGCCUGGAUGUAAGAGGUUAAGCUUGCUUCAGAUUAAGCUCGUUUAGACUAAUUUGCAUCAAUGCGUAACAGGAGGUAUUGAAAUCUUACAUUCGGGUCCUUUAGGAUGCUAGAAUCAAAUUUAGCUCUUUUGGCUUUCAUGAUCUGAGAUGGUAAGAGAAGGCUAAUGCAACAGAUAUUGCUAGGUUCUAGGCAUGACACACGCAAAAGCACUAGUUUGGAGGGGAAAAACCCCUAAUAAGUGUGUAAAUGAUGAAGGCAUUGCACUGACUUCUCAUAUAAGGACCAGGGAAAUAUGGCCAAUUUCUCAUUGAUCUGUGGUCCUUUUGACCUCACAUUCAUCUCAUCUUCUUCUUCUUCUUUUUUUUUUUUUUUUUUUUGGUUGAUGACAUGGGAACCCGCAGCCGCUACCCUUCGGGUGCGCACAGGAUAAAUACAGCUUCUAUGCAAUGGCUCGCAAACCACAUAGGAGAGAUAACCCACACUAGGCAAGCCCUGUGCGACGAGCUCGACCCAGAAGGCAAAACACUUGUUGUCGUAGGCAGGGGGUUUCGAACCUGAGACCUCCAUUAUGAAAGCCCCAUGCUCAAAUUUAGGUCCGGUGUUUGUAACAGUGCUCGCAAAUUCUAGUAAGUUCAAGCUUCCAAAACAAUUACCUUGUGUGGCGAUUUCUUGACAAUUAUGUAUUCCACUUGGUAAUUUUCAUGUCAUUUUAAACUUUUACCAAAUCAAUUAAACUUAGUGACUUUAAUGAAGACUAUGAAUGUAUGCCAAGUUUUAAUUAUAAUGGUCCACUAAGUUUAUUGGUUUUGGUGAAAAUUGAGAGUGAUAUGAGAGUCACUAAGUUGAUUACUACAAUUGUGAAGAAAUCACCUCGCAAAGUAGCUCUUCUAGAAGCUAAAACUUACUUCAAUCUGCAAGCACUCUACAAACACCACAUGGAAAUGAGGUGACCUCGAGUCUUGCCUAUAAACACUAUUGGCUUAUGUUGCACUUAACCCAAGAAAUAUCUACGGGAAAAGAACACAACCUCGUCUAGAUUCUAUACCAGGACUAGUUAUUCACAUAUGACUUUUACUACAACUCAGUUUUUUACUUCCAACUCAAAUACCCAACGUUUCAAGAAGUAAUUAUUUCCCUAAUUGGAGUCCAACAACAAUUUUGGCAUAUGUACCAAUCACGUAGCGCCCUGCCAUUUUUGCCCGAAGUUAUUUUCCUACUGGAUUCCAGCACAAUGCUGGCAAAUACAGCAGCUCUCCUCCUAGCAAACAUACAUUCUCCUAGUUCACCUGUACCACUGCCACAUUCUCCAUGGAACUGGAGUACUGGACUUACAGCUCGAACUCUAUCCGGAUUCCGUCUAAGAAUCAUGAGAAUGGAGCAAUGGUAAGCGAGAUAAGCUGAUAGAGUAAAUACAGGAAGAACAUGGGGAACUCUAAUUCUGCAGCUAAACUGGUGGCAUACAGAGGAAUCCUUCGUCAAGUUCUUUCCUACACUUAUCUCCAAUGAUAAAAAGGUAAAAAAAUAUGCUGAAUCAAUCUUCACAAAUAUUCUCAACCCUUAAUUAUGUAUUUUUGAGGAUACGAGAUCCUCAUUGCUCUUUUAACAAAUAAAUGAAGUUAAGAAAUGUCCAGCAUGAACAGGAAAAACUAGUAUACCUAUACACAAGAAAAAACUAGUUUUCAUCCAAUACUAUUCCUUACUGUCAACUUCCUUAUGAAUUCUCCUCCAAGUAAUUAGUUUAGUUCUUCUUAUGUCUCGAGUUCAGAAGUCCUUUUAAUCUGAUGGGAAAAACAGAUAUUUCAAAUAUUGAAUGAAUUGUGGAAACAUUUGUCCCAAAAAAAAGUACUCCCUUCGUCCCAAUUUAUGUGGCACCUUUCGUAUUUCGAGAUUCAAACGA